rnacentral:tRNA from 1 species
UGGGGCGGAUUUCGCAUAAUCCCUUCCGCGCAGGGGAUCGGAGGUUCAAAUCCUCUCGCCCCGACCA